rnacentral:rRNA from 1 species
CGGGGAUUUUAUGGUGGAAGUUCGUAAAGGGCUCUUGGCUAUCAGGACAUAUGUUGAGCCAAAAGUUCCUUCCAGAGUCAAGCUAAAUGUUGUGGAGCCUUGCCGCCGAUGCCAUGAUCAACCACUGAUCAUAUGUUGAACUUCAUAUGCAAGUUAUCAUAAGUACCCUAUGAUUCCUGUGUAAGUUAAACCAGAACGUCGAGGAACCUUGCUGCUGCUGCUACCCGGGUUAUACACCCCAAACCCAAUGUUUAACGUGUAACUAGUAGGCUCGUGUGUUGCCAUGUAAGUGGACCUCCUGCCACUGCAAUGUUUCUAGGUGUAGGUGCAAGCAAAGUACUAUAACUGUAAUGGACAGAAAAUUGUUGAUCCGUAAAAGAUGUACUCCCAGUAUCCAGUAGAGCCACUGCUCCUUUUCCAUUGAGAUAGAUGACCACAGUGGGUGUGGAAGGGGAGCACCACUGAUGGCUUGGGCAGAAAUGAACAUCACAUUUUCUGUGUUGUUCCCUGUAUUUCAGGUUCUUCAGUGUCAGUUUGCUGUUGGCCAGUAUGAUCUUCC